GCCCCGGUAAACGGCGGCCGUAACUAUAACGGUCCUAAGGUAGCGAAAUUCCUUGUCGGGUAAGUUCCGACCUGCACGAAUGGCGUAAUGAUGGCCAGGCUGUCUCCACCCGAGACUCAGUGAAAUUGAACUCGCUGUGAAGAUGCAGUGUACCCGCGGCAAGACGGAAAGACCCCGUGAACCUUUACUAUAGCUUGACACUGAACAUUGAGCCUUGAUGUGUAGGAUAGGUGGGAGGCUUUGAAGUGUGGACGCCAGUCUGCAUGGAGCCGACCUUGAAAUACCACCCUUUAAUGUUUGAUGUUCUAACGUUGGCCCGUAAUCCGGGUUGCGGACAGUGUCUGGUGGGUAGUUUGACUGGGGCGGUCUCCUCCUAAAGAGUAACGGAGGAGCACGAAGGUUGGCUAAUCCUGGUCGGACAUCAGGAGGUUAGUGCAAUGGCAUAAGCCAGCUUGACUGCGAGCGUGACGGCGCGAGCAGGUGCGAAAGCAGGUCAUAGUGAUCCGGUGGUUCUGAAUGGAAGGGCCAUCGCUCAACGGAUAAAAGGUACUCCGGGGAUAACAGGCUGAUACCGCCCAAGAGUUCAUAUCGACGGCGGUG
rnacentral:rRNA from 1 species